GAGAAGUCGUACCGCAACAGCUGCAUCAUCAUACGCCGCAAACGAACUGAGGCUAUUACCUGGUCGUUGGCAUCGCGGAGUGCCGGAGCAUAACGGAAUGUUCUGGAUCGACGAAGGGCAUCUGGGCCCGCAAGGUUGAGUAGGAGAGAGGCCUUUACAGCAUCUGGUUCAUUUCGGUGUGCAAUGUUCAUGUCGUGCUGGU